GCCAGGCAUGGUGGCCCACACCUGUAAUCUCAGCUGUUUGGGGGCUGAUGCAGGAGGAUGGCAAGUCCCCAGUCAGCCUGGGCAAUUUAGUGAGAUCCUGUUU
rnacentral:sRNA from 1 species